rnacentral:rRNA from 1 species
CAGUAGCCACGGUAAUACGUAGGUCCCGAGCGUUGUCCGGAUUUAUUGGGCGUAAAGCGAGCGCAGGCGGUUUGAUAAGUCUGAAGUUAAAGGCUGUGGCUCAACCAUAGUUCGCUUUGGAAACUGUCAAACUUGAGUGCAGAAGGGGAGAGUGGAAUUCCAUGUGUAGCGGUUAAAUGCGUAGAUAUAUGGAGGAACACCGGUGGCGAAAGCGGCUCUCUGGUCUGUAACUGACGCUGAGGCUCGAAAGCGUGGGGAGCGAACAGGAUUAGAUACCCGCGUAGUCCCUGUCUCUUAUACA